UAUGGCUGUGGUUAUGGGUGGGCCCAGUAGAAAGACCCUUGGUAAUAACCAGGUCCAGAGUAUGGCUGUGGUUAUGGGUGGGCCCAGUAGAAAGCCCCUUGGUAAUAACCAGGUCUAGAGUAUGGCUGUGGUUAUGGGUGGGCCCAGUAGAAAGCCCCUUGGUAAUAACCAGUCCAGAGUAUGGCUGUGGUUAUGGGUGGGCCCAGUAGAAAGCCCCUUGGUAAUAACCAGUCCAGAGUAUGGCUGUGGUUAUGGGUGGGCCCAGUAGAAAGCCCCUUGGUAAUAACCAGUCCAGAGUAUGGCUGUGGUUAUGGGUGGGCCCAGUAGAAAUCAGGUCUAUAGUGGACCCAGUAGAAAGCCCCUUGGUAAUAACCAGUCCAGAGUAUGGCUGUGGUUAUGGGUGGGCCAGUAGAAAGCCCC
rnacentral:lncRNA from 1 species